rnacentral:rRNA from 1 species
UACGUAGGGUGCAAGCGUUGUCCGGAAUUAUUGGGCGUAAAGAGCUCGUAGGCGGUUUGUCGCGUCUGCUGUGAAAACUCAGGGCUUAACCCUGAGCCUGCAGUGGGUACGGGCAGACUAGAGUGUGGUAGGGGAGAUCGGAAUUCCUGGUGUAGCGGUGGAAUGCGCAGAUAUCAGGAGGAACACCUAUGGCGAAGGCAGCUCGCUGGGACGUGACUGACGCUGAGACGCGAAAGCGUGGGGAGCAAACAGG